AGUGAACGCUGGCGGUAGGCCUAACACAUGCAAGUCGAACGGCAGCACAGGAGAGCUUGCUCUCUGGGUGGCGAGUGGCGGACGGGUGAGGAAUACAUCGGAAUCUACUCUGUCGUGGGGGAUAACGUAGGGAAACUUACGCUAAUACCGCAUACGACCUACGGGUGAAAGCAGGGGAUCUUCGGACCUUGCGCGAUUGAAUGAGCCGAUGUCGGAUUAGCUAGUUGGCGGGGUAAAGGCCCACCAAGGCGACGAUCCGUAGCUGGUCUGGGAGGAUGAUCGGCCAAACUGGAACCGAGACACGGUCCAGACUCCUACGGGAGGCAGCAGUGGGGAAUAUUGGACAAUGGGCGCAAGCCUGAUCCAGCCAUACCGCGUGGGUGAAGAAGGCCUUCGGGUUGUAAAGCCCUUUUGUUGGGAAAGAAAUCCAGCUGGCUAAUACCCGGUUGGGAUGACGGUACCCAAAGAAUAAGCACCGGCUAACUUCGUGCCAGCAGCCGCAGUAA
rnacentral:rRNA from 1 species